rnacentral:rRNA from 1 species
CGCUCUUUGUCUACCUUAUAUAAAGAGUCGAGCCUGCCCAGUGAUUUAUUUAACGGCCGCGGUACUCUGACCGUGCAAAGGUAGCAUAAUCAUUUGCCUUAUAAUUGAAGGCUAGUAUGAAUGGUUUGACAAGAAUAGAGCUGUCUCUACAUAAAUUUUACAGAAUUUGGUUUUUAGGUGAAGAAACCUAAAUAAUAUUGAAAGACAAGAAGACCCUAUCGAGCUUAAAAUAACUCACUUGAAAUCUUUAUUAACAUUAGUUUCAAGUUUAAAUUUUGGUUGGGGCGACUAAGGAACACAAAAAGCUUCCUAUGAAACUUACAUACUAUUAUGUUUUGAUCCAAAAAUUUUGAUUAACAGAAUUAGUUACCGUAGGGAUAACAGCAUAAUCUUUUUUGAGAGUUCUUAUCGAAAAAAAGGUUUGUGACCUCGAUGUUGGACUAGGAUACCCAGAAAGGUGCAGAAGCCUUCAAUGGUUGGUCUGUUCGACCAUUAAUAUCCUACA